CCUCACGAGGGACGCGCUUGUGAUCAACGGCCUCGCGUGCGUACAACAGGCGGGUGACGGCCGGCGACAGCACAGGCGUGUUAGCACGCGAGGAAGCGAAAACACACACGUUCACGGGGGAGAGGGGAGGUGGCUAUUGGAACGCACCGGCACACGUGGGCUGCCGUGGAGAGAGAAGCGCCGUCCCUCACUGCCAAGCGCAGCCGCUCCCCUCAGGCGGCGCUGCUUCAACUGCCGCUCGCCUUCUCUGGCACUGAAACACCUCCUUUGCCGACGAGUGCUGCACGAGGCUGGGAUGGGCAGCACAAAACCGGACCUCUCCUGUGCACUGCAGCAGCACCCACAGUCGGUGGGGGAGCGGGCAGGAGAGCGGCUCUUUGUCUACGCGCAUGCUCAACGACAGAACCGAAAGGCUGCUAUGAAGGCUCAGUGCUCCGAUGAAACCGCGGACCUCUACCGUCCCGCGAUGGGGCUGCUCGCCAAGCGCAUGUCGAAGCGGCGUGCACCCUUGCACGGAGUGGCAGCAGCGCCGCGCGCGCCGUCGGUGCAGUUAGAUGAGCCCACAGCGAUCCAAUUGCUAACUUCGGCACUGCCGCGUUACUGGCGGGAAUUUCUCUCCCGCACCGCCGAGCGUGAACGACACCGACUGGCGCGACUGCGAAAACUGAAGCUGCAGGUAGUUGAGAGUGCAGUGGAGGAGUGUACUUUCCAUCCGCGUCUCUCGCCUCAAACGUGUCGAUGCCCUGCGCGUGACUGUGAUAGCUCGGGCGCAGCACCGCACGCGACCCCCUCCACUACCAUUAUCGAUGGCGAGGAGCGAAGCUCCCAUGCCCCCACGGAGGAAUGGGCGGCUGCACUUGCCAUGUUCGAGGCCGAGAUGCAAGCGCUGCACGACACACUGGUGCGUCUUCGCCAAACGUGAACGACGUCGACGUAUAACCGUCGCGGUCUGGUCUCGUUGACGAGUGUCUGUUCUCCGAGGUGCCCACCACGUCGGCUGCUCUUAGCGAGUGUGUGUGUGUGUGGGGGGGGGAGAGUCUCACGCGUUGCUGGCACGCGUGCACGUGCCUCUAUCUCUCACCGUUUGUACGCGAGUCACACAAGUACCUACACACAGACGCACACACGGACGCGCGCCUGCCCGUGCGUAGCGCCAACGCGCACGUGUCCGCUCAGCGGCACGCAUCGUGUACCUCGUCAUGUACACCAUGACACACAAUGGACAAAGAAGAAGCGCAUAACCAGCAGGCGGCACCGGAUCGAGAUGGAGACCUGUCGCUCUGCGAGGAACGCCCUCCUCCCCCCCCCUGACGCCUGACACGCCGCCUGAAAGUGCGCGGCAGGCGAGCACGCACCCGUACAGGCUCGUUCUGAGGUGAGGCCUUUGCAAAACCGCUGACGUCUCGGUGACAGGCGUAGCGCGGAGGAAAGGCGACGGGUGGAGCGUGCCGUUGGUGGCAUCGUGUUCUCCCGCCGAGGGAUCGCACGCGCCACCACGCACGGAGAGCCCGCUUUCCUCAGCGAAUGGCGGAUUUCUUCCUCUGUCCUCCGCACAUCGCCGCCACCUCUUCCUUCCUAUUGUAUCAUCUCUUUGUUACUCUGUCAG
rnacentral:misc_RNA from 1 species